GAAAUGCGAUAAGUAGUGUGAAUUGCAGAAUUCAGUGAAUCAUCGAAUCUUUGAACGCACAUUGCGCCCUUUGGUAUUCCAAAGGGCAUGCCUGUUCGAGCGUCAUUUGUACCCUCAAGCUUUGCUUGGUGUUGGGCGUCUUGUCUCCAGUUCUCUGGGGACUCGCCUUAAAGUUAUUGGCAGCCGGCCUACUGGUUUCGGAGCGCAGCACAAGUCGCGCUCUCUUCCAGCCAAGGUCAGCAUCCACAAAGCCUUUUUUCAACUUUUGACCUCGGAUCAGGUAGGGAUACCCGCUGAACUUAAGC
rnacentral:misc_RNA from 1 species